UAGGGAAUCUUCCGCAAUGGACGAAAGUCUGACGGAGCAACGCCGCGUGAACGAUGAAGGUCUUCGGAUCGUAAAGUUCUGUUGCAGGGGAAGAUAAUGACGGUACCCUGUGAGGAAGCCCCGGCUAACUACGUGCCAGCAGCCGCGGUAAUACGUAGGGGGCUAGCGUUAUCCGGAUUUACUGGGCGUAAAGGGUGCGUAGGUGGUCUUUCAAGUCGGUGGUUAAAGGCUACGGCUCAACCGUAGUUAGCCUCCGAAACUGGAAGACUUGAGUGCAGGAGAGGAAAGUGGAAUUCCCAGUGUAGCGGUGAAAUGCGUAGAUAUUGGGAGGAACACCAGUAGCGAAGGCGGCUUUCUGGACUGCAACUGACACUGAGGCACGAAAGCGUGGGUAGCAAACAGG
rnacentral:rRNA from 1 species